UGCUUCUUCAGUGGCUUUCCUCCCACCUCCCCGGGUCCUGGCGGCGCCUGGCGAGGUGUUCUUUACGUGGGGCCUCGCGUACCUAAGGCCACCGACAGUUAAGAAGGCUGCCUGCGGGGCGCGCGUUCGAGGUCGUUUACAGGAUAGCGUCCGCUUCUGGAUCGGGCCAUUUGUACAUUCACUGUCUUUUCACGCGAGGCACCCAGGACUCGAAACGAGCUGAACGAUGGUUGUGAGGGUGACUGCCCUCCUCAUGGGACACCAGAACAGCUGCUUACCAGCUGAGACCCCAGGACACACAGGAUCGGAUGAGUCACAGCCCAAAGGACUAGCUUGUCAGGGGCCCCUGCGUCCCCUGUUUGAGUGGAGUCACACGGGUAUCCAUUUUUCAUGGUCGGGAGAGGUGGUGGGCAAAGGAGACUAAGAUUCUGGGAGAAGGUUCCAGAAAGUCAGCCUGGAAGGAAGACUGGUGCCCAAGGCUCUCCUCUCUACAGAGGGGGGAACAUGCAGUGGCAUCUCGUUUCGCCAGUGGUCUUGGGGUGUUGGUCACUCUGAUACAAACAAAUCACGGAAGGCAGAAUAUAAAUCAGGAGAUAUAAGUAAGUGCUUCAAAGCCCUUACAACUGGGCGCAAAAGGCAGAAUUGUAUGCUAUUCUUACGAUACCAAAAUCUAAUACAGGGGAAAAUUUCACUACCUAAACACCUACAUCUCCUUAACUUCCCAUGUGGUGGUCCCAUCCUGAUUCACUUAACAAUCAAAGCUGACUUUGGAGUUGGACUGUGGCUCUCUCCUUCUCUAAAUCUAAGCAUGUUGCUAAAAAAAAAUUCAGAGUUUCUGUCUAAGAAGAGUCAACUUGUAUGAGACAGAGGAAAACCAAAAUCUAGGGACUAUUAUUGUCAAAACUCUGUUAUCCCUCAAAAAUUCUAAUUUUCCCCAUACUUAUUUUCAUCUUUAUUGGUACCUUUCCUUGUAUGCAUGCCUAUAAAAAUUUAAACUUUAUGUUUUGAUGUUAAUGUUUAAGUCUUCCACAGUGAACAAUAAAAUUUCCUAAUAGCAA